rnacentral:lncRNA from 1 species
GGAAGGGGGACAAUUGAGGGUUUGGGGACAAAAAAGGGGUUGGGGACAGUUGAGGGACAGGGGACAGUUGAGGGUUUGGGGACAAGCAAGGGUUUGGGGACAAUUGAGGGACGGGGGACAACCGAGAAACGGGGGACAGCUGAAGGUUUGGGGACAGUUGAGGGUUUGGGGACAGUUGAAGGUUUGGGGACAAGCGAGGGCUUGGGGACAGUUGAGGGACAGGGGACGGUGGAGACCCUCGGGACGGGCAAGGGGGAAGGGGUGGCCACCAGCGCGGGGACGGCGGAGGGACAGGGGACAACCAAGGGGUUGGGGACAGCUGGGGCACGGGGGACACUUAAGGGCUUGGGGACAGUCAGGGGGUGGGGCUCGGUGAAGGGACAGGGGACGGUUGGGGGACAGGGGACAUCCGAGGGCUGUAGGGUGGGCAAGGGCCAAGGGUUGGCCACCAGCUUGGGGACAGCUGAGGGCCAGGUGACAACGAAGGGCUUGGGGACAGCCGAGGGACAGGGGACAGCCGAGGGCCAUCAGGCGGCUGUCCCCAAGCCCCCCGAGGUGGCCACCAGCCCCGUGACAUCUGGUGGCCCGAGCAAGGAGCUGGGGACAGCUGAGGGACAGGGGACGGGCAGGGGAGGUGGGGGGGCCACCACGGCGGCCAUGACGCCCUCAACGGUGGCCAUGACGCCCUCAACGGCGGCCAUGACGCCCUCAACGGCAGCCAUGACGCCCUCACCCCCAUCGGCGACACCCCCGGUGGCCGUGACGCCCCCGUCGGCCGUGACGCCCGCGCAGGGGCGUGCGGAGGGCGGCGCCGGGGAGGGCCCAACGCCGGGGGGGCCCAGCGGGCCGGCGGCCAUGCGAGGGGCUCCCCGCCGCGAGCCCGGCCCCCCGCCGCCGGCCCACCCGGCCCUUCAACGCCGCAGCGGCAACACCAUCACAGUGCGGCCCCGGCGCGGGGGGACCGCCGAGGGGGGG